UGCAAGUCGAACGCUUCUUUUUCCACCGGAGCUUGCUCCACCGGAAAAAGAGGAGUGGCGAACGGGUGAGUAACACGUGGGUAACCUGCCCAUCAGAAGGGGAUAACACUUGGAAACAGGUGCUAAUACCGUAUAACAAUCRAAACCGCAUGGUUUUGAUUUGAAAGGCGCUUUCGGGUGUCGCUGAUGGAUGGACCCGCGGUGCAUUAGCUAGUUGGUGAGGUAACGGCUCACCAAGGCCACGAUGCAUAGCCGACCUGAGAGGGUGAUCGGCCACAUUGGGACUGAGACACGGCCCAAACUCCUACGGGAGGCAGCAGUAGGGAAUCUUCGGCAAUGGACGAAAGUCUGACCGAGCAACGCCGCGUGAGUGAAGAAGGUUUUCGGAUCGUAAAACUCUGUUGUUAGAGAAGAACAAGGAUGAGAGUAACUGUUCAUCCCUUGACGGUAUCUAACCAGAAAGCCACGGCUAACUACGUGCCAGCAGCCGCGGUAAUACGUAGGUGGCAAGCGUUGUCCGGAUUUAUUGGGCGUAAAGCGAGCGCAGGCGGUUUCUUAAGUCUGAUGUGAAAGCCCCCGGCUCAACCGGGGAGGGUCAUUGGAAACUGGGAGACUUGAGUGCAGAAGAGGAGAGUGGAAUUCCAUGUGUAGCGGUGAAAUGCGUAGAUAUAUGGAGGAACACCAGUGGCGAAGGCGGCUCUCUGGUCUGUAACUGACGCUGAGGCUCGAAAGCGUGGGGAGCAAACAGGAUUAGAUACCCUGGUAGUCCACGCCGUAAACGAUGAGUGCUAAGUGUUGGAGGGUUUCCGCCCUUCAGUGCUGCAGCUAACGCAUUAAGCACUCCGCCUGGGGAGUACGACCGCAAGGUUGAAACUCAAAGGAAUUGACGGGGGCCCGCACAAGCGGUGGAGCAUGUGGUUUAAUUCGAAGCAACGCGAAGAACCUUACCAGGUCUUGACAUCCUUUGACCACUCUAGAGAAUAGAGCUUCCCCUUCGGGGGCAAAGUGACAGGUGGUGCAUGGUUGUCGUCAGCUCGUGUCGUGAGAUGUUGGGUUAAGUCCCGCAACGAGCGCAACCCUUAAUUGUUAGUUGCCAUCAUUCAGUUGGGCACUCUAGCAAGACUGCCGGUGACAAACC
rnacentral:rRNA from 1 species